UCCGAUAUGGUGUAACGGCUAACAUUGCCGCCUUUCAUAGAAGAAUCUGAUCGCGGCAGCUCGGGGUUCGAUUCCCCGUAUCGGAA
rnacentral:tRNA from 1 species